GAUGAACGCUGGCGGCGUGCCUAAUACAUGCAAGUCGAGCGAACAGACGAGGAGCUUGCUCCUCUGACGUUAGCGGCGGACGGGUGAGUAACACGUGGAUAACCUACCUAUAAGACUGGGAUAACUUCGGGAAACCGGAGCUAAUACCGGAUAAUAUAUUGAACCGCAUGGUUCAAUAGUGAAAGACGGUUUUGCUGUCACUUAUAGAUGGAUCCGCGCCGCAUUAGCUAGUUGGUAAGGUAACGGCUUACCAAGGCAACGAUGCGUAGCCGACCUGAGAGGGAGGUGGGACAGAUGGGAAGUACGAACGGGCAAAGGAGACGCAGGGAGCGAGAAGAGGGGAGUUUGAGAAAAGGGGCGAAAGCCUACAGGACAAAGGAAGGGGGAGAAAGAAAGUUGUGCGGUAAGAAAACACGGUUGAGAGGGAAAGAAGAUAGGUGUAAGUAAAUGCUCAGAGAGUGACGGUACCUAAUCAGAGAGCCAGGGCUAAAUACAUG
rnacentral:rRNA from 1 species